rfam:Nematostella vectensis strain CH2 x CH6 NEMVEscaffold_423_Cont26819, whole genome shotgun sequence.
ACCGUGAUCGUAUAGUGGUUAGUACAUUGCGAUGUGGCCGCAAUAACCCAGGUCCGAAUCCUGGUUACGGCA